GGCGUUGGGCGAUAGACACCUCGCGUGAACGGGUCCCACUCCCGCGUAGAUCAGACAAUCCCAAGUUCAGUAGAACCCUAGCCGCCACACUCGGCACUCCCAUAGUCGCGACCCCCUCCCGCUCCACCCCCUUCCCGCCUUCUCCUCUCUGCCGCCACCUCCCUCGCACAGAUGGCCGGCGUGCUGACGCACCGUGGAGAGCCAGUGAUCUCCCUCGCAUCUCUUCGUCUCCAUUCUUUUCUUCCUCUCCCUUUUCCCUCUGAAUAAUCCACUUCUUUUGUAGGAGCAGAUUUGGGGCUCCAUGGGCAUGGAGCAGCACCGUCGGUGGAUUCGUUACUCGGUGCCGUCGGCCACCCCGCUCUCCCGUUCGUCUCGCUGCCGCCACUCCUCCGACCCUCGCCAACAGUCUGGCUCCUCUCUUUUUCACUGGGAGCAACGAGCGCAUCCCUGCGACGGACGAGUGACACAGCCCUACAACUGCUCCUUCAUCCCCACCAGCCAGGUCACCACGCUGGUAGUGGUACCUCCGCCCCCACCUGUGCAAGCCGCCUCGUCGGCACGUCCGUCCUCACUCCUCACCGAUCAACGCGACAUUAGCUAGGGAUUGUUCUGGGAGCAUCAAUCAGUCUGGAUGGAGAACUCUCUCAUCAAACAUUGGCAAGGACAAAAUAGGUGGACACAUUCAUUGGGAGGCUUUUAGAUAUUCACUCAAAGAUGAUGUGCCUUUACAAUUGCCUUACACCAAGAACCAAAUGAACUGCUCAUCUAGCAGUUGGAGCAAACCUACAAAGCUAGAGCACGAGAAAAUGAUGAGGCAAUACUAAGUAUUAGAAGGUUGUCCAUUAAGAAUAUGAGUCUGCAAUGCAGGAACUGAGCGCCAUAGUUCCUGUUUGGGAGAAAUAAACUUUCAUAAAAACAGCUAUAAGCUAUAUGAACUUUGUAAUUACUUUUUCUGGGAGGAUUUUCUCAUUAAAUUAUAUACCUGUGAUAAACUACUGACAACUACUUCCCCUGUCUUGGUAGUUCCAUGUUUCUAUGACUUUGUACUUUUCUGUUAUUUUUUCUGCUAACUGCAUUUUCUUUUGUUCGUUUGUUAUAAACUUGAUAAUCGACAUUGCAUCCUUUCCAUCUAAUGCAGGUCUAUCGUAGUGCUUUAUUUGUCUCAUGUCUAUUUCCUAACACUGUUUUCUUUUUCUGUUGUUACCUAAUGAUAGCUAGAAUUUGAUGCGGCUGCAAUAUGGGUAUUUUUUUCGAAAUUGGUUUUUCUUUAUUGAAUUGCUUUGUGAACUUGGGUUUCGAACUUCGCAAAAAAAAUUCUUUUAAUAUUUGUUUGUACUCAGUUUUUGGCACAUUUGUGUUCUCUAGAUGGUAUCAUUUCGAGCUAUUAAUCAUUGAAGAAUAAUUACGAAAAAUAACUUUGCCAUAUUAAAUGAUGCAGCGACCUUUGUCAUACCUUAAAGUGGGAUAUUUGACUGCUUCUCCAGCAAACAAUGCCUUUGCAGGUUUAUCCUUGUUGCACUGGGCACUUAUUCCUGAUGAUAGUCGCCUGCAGUUUGGAUGAAUGUGGAAAUGCUUUCCUGAGAGUUCACUCUCUGCUCUCAAUCUUUAUUUCUUUUGUAUUAUUUUGUUUUGCCUGUGUAGACCACCAGGUCACUUGUGUACUAAUUAGUUUAGAUGUAAUCUGGCACUCAGCCAUUAUAUGCUUAUUGACAUGCGCCUACUGCGCCUUUUGCCAAAUUAUAUGUUCCCAGAAUUCCAUUGAAAAGCCAGGAGAUUGGGGCCUGCCUCCCUACAAUAAUUGUUGUAUAUCUAAAAAAUUGUUCUCGUGUUGUUGAAAAGGACAAGGAUGGCCAACUUGCAUAGAAACUGAAGAAUAAAUUGAACAUUUCUGUUGAAGGAAACAACAAGGAAUCUAUCUAACUUGCUGAGGUUGAGGCGUAUAGACUUUCUAAUGCAGGUGAGCAUCCAUGCCAAUCUUUUCACCAGUCUCUGAAAUACUUUUUUUUUUUGAGUUGCUUACGGUUUUGAGUAUCUUUUCUUAGAAAGCAUUGUCUUCUUCUGAACGUGUUUUGUAAUUUGUACUAUUACUCCAAUUCACUAUGGAGCUGUUUUACUUUUUUGUCUUUCUUAUGUCGAUUAAUCUUGGGAGACUCUGAAGAAGCCGUGGUGGCAGAGCUGCAGGGGGGAUGGGGGAGGUGGUUCCGGUGGUGGAUGAAGCUUUGGUGGGCUGAUCAAUAUGCUCGCGGAGUGUCUGUACAUGAAUAUGGACGUAUAGUUGCCCCUAAAUCAUAGUGGAGUACAUGCAAAUAAUAUGUGACAUGUGUAUUGAUCACAAAGCAAUUCAAUUAAAAAAGAACCAAUUUCGGAAAAUACCCAUAUUGCAAUAUGGGUAUUUUUUUUCUGAAAUUGGUUGUUUCUUUAUUGAAUUGGCUGCAAUAUGGGUAUUUUUUCCGAAAUAGAUGGUAUCGUGAUCCAGUCUUUUUAUUUUGUAAAAAGAACUCAUAUUUGAUUUGAUAUGCAGUCUGCGUGUGUGCAGUAGCUGAAAGGGAUUUUUUUGUGUGUGUGGACUGAAACGGUAGCAUUAUGCUGAUUGAAGAGAUACAGAGAUUGGAAGUGAAUGAUUGCUUUCCAUUGAUGUGGACUGCGGGUAUUUAUAUUACCUCAACAGUCGGGAGUACAUGUCGGUUACAAUAAUUGUGUCUCUUUGGAAAGGACACAACUGUUCGCUUUACACAGCGAUUGGACAAAACUCUAAUAUGCUAACUGCUAUAGGGAAUAUUCUAAGGAAUCUGCUAACUGCUUGAUUA